AUGUUCCACAGUUUCAGUUCAUAUGUGAGGACUGCCCUACGCUCAAGCAACGAGUUACGACAUGGAUGGAGUGUAGGACGAAGUUCAGGACAUCAGAGAACAGAUGACACAUUGGUCACAUCCCCAGUAAAUGUGUCAAUCAUACUAAACCGUCGAUGGUUUCUAAUUUCCAAUAUUGAAAAAUGCUACUAUAUCUCAAGUAAUAUGAGAGUAUUGAUUAACCCAUUUUCUGUUUCUAAGCUAUCUUUAUUUUUCUUAGUUAUUUUGGUGUUUUGUUUGGCACAGAAGAUGGUUUCAAAACAGAGAGUUGUGGUUUUGAUGCUAUCUGUAAAGGUAAUUCAUAUAUAUCAUAAGUUUAUUAACAUACUUACUUCAUAUGAACAUUAUUCUUUUACUUCGUUAAUAUAUGGGUCAAUAUGUUCGCACCAUACCCUCAGGGCCAUUACCUUGACUGUCCAUUCUAGAUAA
rnacentral:rRNA from 1 species